rnacentral:ncRNA from 1 species
UCGCGGGGACGGCCUCGCCCGGAUUCGCGUCAUGCAGGGACGACCCUG